UUGGAGGGCAAGUCUGGUGCCAGCAGCCGCGGUAAUUCCAGCUCCAAUAGCGUAUAUUAAAGUUGUUGCAGUUAAAAAGCUCGUAGUUGAAUUUCGGGGUUAGUAGGUUGGUCAUGCCUCUGGUAUGUACUGGUCUCACUGAUUCCUCCUUCCUGAUGAACCUUAAUGCCAUUAAUUUGGUGUUUUGGGGAAUUUGGACUGUUACUUUGAAAAAAUUAGAGUGUUUAAAGCAAGCUAACGCUUGAAUACAUUAGCAUGGAAUAAUGAAAUAGGACGUUCGAUCCCAUUUUGUUGGUUUCUAGGAUUGACGUAAUGAUUAAUAGGGAUAGUUGGGGGCAUUAGUAUUCAAUUGUCAGAGGUGAGAUUCUUGGAUUUAUUGAAGACUAACUAUUGCGAAAGCAUUUGCCAAGGAUGUUUUCAUUAAUCAAGAACGAAAGUUAGGGGAUCGAAGACGAUCAGAUACCGUCGUAGUCUUAACCAUAAACUAUGCCGACUAGGGAUCGGAUGAUGUUAAUUUUUUAAUGACUCAUUCGGCGCCUUACGGGAAACCAAAGUGUUUGGGUUC
rnacentral:rRNA from 1 species